AUCCAGGUGAUCAGUCCCAAAUAGGACGAAACAUGUGUCAUGGAU
rnacentral:hammerhead_ribozyme from 1 species